rnacentral:rRNA from 1 species
AACGAACGCUGGCGGCAGGCUUAACACAUGCAAGUCGAACGGGUGCAGCAAUGCAUCAGUGGCAGACGGGUGAGUAACACGUGGGAACCUUCCUAGGGGUACGAACAACUCAGGGAAACUUGAGCUAAAUACCGUAUACGUAACCGUAAGGAGAAAGAUUCAUCCGCCCCUAGACGGGCCCGCGUCGGAUUAGGUAGUUGGUGGGGUAACGGCCUACCAAGCCUACGAUCCGUAGCUGAUCNGAGAGGAUGAUCAGCCACACUGGGACUGAGACACGGCCCAGACUCCUACGGGAGGCAGCAGGU